GAUGAACGCUGGCGGCGUGCCUAAUACAUGCAAGUCGAGCGAACAGAUGAGGAGCUUGCUCCUCUGACGUUAGCGGCGGACGGGUGAGUAACACGUGGAUAACCUACCUAUAAGACUGGGAUAACUUCGGGAAACCGGAUCUAAUCCCGGAGAAUAUAUUGAACCGCAUGGUUCAAUAGUGAAAGACGGUUUUGCUGUCACUUAUAGAUGGAUCCGCGCCGCAUUAGCUAGUUGGUAAGGUAACGGCUUACCAAGGCAACGAUGCGUAGCCGACCUGAGAGAGUGAUCGGCCACACUAGAACUGAGACACGGUCCAGACUCCUACGGGAGGCAGCAGUAGGGAAUGUUACGCAAUGGGCGAAAGCCUGACGGAGCAACGCCGCGUGAGUGAUGAAGGUCUUCGGAUCGUAAAAAUCUGUUAUUAGGGAAGAACAAAUGUGUAAGUAACUAUGCACGUCUUGACGGUACCUAAUCAGAAAGCCACGGCUAACUACGUG
rnacentral:rRNA from 1 species